rnacentral:rRNA from 1 species
UACGUAGGGGGCUAGCGUUGUUCGGAAUCACUGGGCGUAAAGCGCACGUAGGCGGAUGUGUCAGUCAGGGGUGAAAUCCCGGGGCUCAACCUCGGAACUGCCUUUGAUACAGCACGUCUCGAGUCCGGAAGAGGUGGGUGGAAUUCCUAGUGUAGAGGUGAAAUUCGUAGAUAUUAGGAAGAACACCGGUGGCGAAGGCGGCCCACUGGUCCGGUACUGACGCUGAGGUGCGAAAGCGUGGGGAGCAAACAGG